rnacentral:rRNA from 1 species
GACGAACGCUGGCGGCGUGCUUAACACAUGCAAGUCGAACGGAAAGGCCCUGCUUUUGUGGGGUGCUCGAGUGGCGAACGGGUGAGUAACACGUGAGUAACCUGCCCUUGACUUUGGGAUAACUUCAGGAAACUGGGGCUAAUACCGGAUAGGAGCUCCUGCUGCAUGGUGGGGGUUGGAAAGUUUCGGCGGUUGGGGAUGGACUCGCGGCUUAUCAGCUUGUUGGUGGGGUAGUGGCUUACCAAGGUUUUGACGGGUAGCCGGCCUGAGAGGGUGACCGGCCUCAUUGGAACUGAGGUACGGACCAGAAUCCUACGGGAGGCAGCAGUGGGGAAUAUUGCACAAUGGGCGGAAGCCUGAUGCAGCAACGCCGCGUGCGGGAUGACGGCCUUCGGGUUGUAAACCGAUUUCGCCUGUGACGAAGAGUGAGUGACGGUAAUGGGUAAAGAAGCACCGGCUAACUACGUG